rnacentral:rRNA from 1 species
AGCGAACGCUGGCGGCAGGCUUAACACAUGCAAGUCGAGCGGGCAUCCUUGUGGUGUCAGCGGCAGACGGGUGAGUAACGCGUGGGAACGUGCCCUUCGGUUCGUAAUAACUUAGGGCAACUUGUGCUAAUACCGGAUAUGCGCGAGAGCAGAAAGGUUUAUCUGCCGAAGGAUCGGCCCGCGUCUGAUUAGCUAGUUGGUGAGGUUACGGCUCACCAAGGCGACGAUCAGUAGCUGGUCUGAGAGGAUGCUCCGCCACACUGGGACUGAGACACGGCCCAGACUCCUACGGGAGGCAGCAGUGGGGAAUCUUGGACGAUGGGGGCAACCCUGAUCCAGCCAUGACGCGUGAGUGAUGCCGGCCUUAGGGUUGUAAAGCUCUUUUCUCCGGGACGAUAAUGACGGUACCGGAGGAAUAAGCCCCGGCUAACUUCGUG